GUUCUUGGCCAGGCGCCUUGCACUUGUUGGGUUUUGAGCAAUCUAACACUUCCUAAGUGUGCAUGCAACCCUAAUAAACCUUGGAUCUAUGUUUGUCUAAAUACAUUCAAAAUAAUAAUUUUCCAAGGUUCAUAACCUAUCUAACAUGGCAUGGGGUACUUUUAAACAUAAAAGAGUUAGAAGAGAUUACAUACCUUUUUGAUGAGUUUGAUUCUUGAGGGGUUUGAGGGCCCAGCACCAAUAAUGUGAAUGCCUUAAAUGGAAUCACAAAUCACCACAAACUCUUGGAAAACUUUGACAGAGUAUACACACUUGUAUUUUCGGCCACACACAAGCACACACACACACUAGUUCACUAGUUCCAUUUCAUGCAACAUAAGCAUGCUUAUAUAGUGUGCAUGGUUAGGGUGAAACCCUAAUAACCCAUGACCUUUCCUUUUCCAAGGAUCCAUGGGUUAAAAGCUCCAUGGAUCAUCCAUGGACUUCCAUACAAGCCUAGCCCAUUAACAAAUGAGUGUUAGCCCACACUAUAUAAAACUAAUAGCCCACAAUCUAAUUAGUCUUCCUUUUAAUCUCUAAAUUAAUUCAUAAUUAAUUUAAGACUAAGACUAAUUAAAUAACAUAACUUCAUAUUAAUAUAUUAUAACUUAUAAUAUAUUAAUAAACAUAUGUGUAUAACUCUCAUAAAAUUAUCCAUAAAUAGUUCGGGUGAAGUGCAACCCAAAUGGACCAUGCCGGGUCGGGUCAAGUAUAUACCAAAUAAGUUAUGGACUUAGACACCUUAUCCAACAGACUCCCACUUGGAUAAGUCUAAUAACUGUAUUUGCCUAUAUAACUUCAGGAACCAACCAGCAAUCGUAGCUCUCGAAAACUCUGUUGAACUAUGAAGCGCCAUUUUAAGACAAGUGAUCAUAUAAUCCUCUGUUCUCAUGAUAUCAGCCGGACAAACACAUGGAACUAUGUCUUGCUUAUUGUCUGGCAGUUGUUUCUCGAUUUCCGAUUUGUUUGACAAAGAACUUUACUGAACACAUCAGUUUAGUUCUGACCGGGCCCGGUGCAUGGGUCAACACAAAAUCAUCGAGGGGCCCAGAUAUCGCUUCUAUUUCUAGAAGGAACAGAUAAACUUCGACUCAUAUGCUUGUUCUACUACUUGUUGAAUUGUACACAAAGGCACGUUUUAUAACAUCAAGUUACUGAUGCGUUUACGUGCAAUCAAUGCACAACCAACUCAUAGGUAACAACUCAUAUCUCUAGGUUUGAAGAUUUAUAUGAUAUUACCGUCUCACGAUCACUCGAGAUAAAUUCCAUGAAGUGAUACAAGUGAGCGUGGGUUUAUUCCAAUACUCAUAACUUAUGAGCACUCAUGAAUGUUGUAGCAACCAUUGCUAUGACUAAACCCAUUUAGCCAUCUACAAACUCGAUUCAUGACAGUCUUGAUUCAUACCUACUUCCAACAUAUGAACGACUGUGGAGUGUUUAAAUAACUUAGUCAUUCGGAAAGAAUAACCUAGCUAUUUUGGAAGUCAAAACAUGCAAAGUGAAACACAAUAAUAAUCGAAUCCAAUAUGGUCUCAGAACCCUUUUGAAUAUAAAUAGAACCACCUUUUAUUUAUCACCAUAUUGAUUACACAUUAUUCAUUGUAUAAUGUUUCAAACAAUCAACUUAAGACUUGAAUAAAAACAACAGUCGUCCCAUGCUCCUAGCAUGUACACUUUGUUUUUCUAAACAAUAGUUAUGCCAUACUCCAAGUAUGCACACUAUGUUUGUCUAUGAUCCUUACAUUGUGAUGUAGAUCAAUUGAACAUGAUUCCAAUGAUACUCAUUUCACAAUCCCAAAUCCUUAUUGUAAAUGUGAGAAUCCCCGAUUCCUAUCAUUUACCAAAAAAACUGUUAGAUUUUAAACUUUUAUGCAAUGUUCCUCUUGUAAUGAUUAUGCACAAAGUCACCAAAACCUUGUCACCAGUCAUUACAGAGUAUUCCAAAGAAGGUCAACUUCUAUGGAACGGAAGUCUCAUAUUCAAAGUACAUUGCUUUGAACAUCCUUCUUGCAUUAAGGUUUUCUAAUCUUACAUAGAUUGAAUAACUUCCACCUAUGGAGACAUUUCCAUAGUCCCAUUUUGACUAUCACUUCCGAACAAGAGUUACUUCUUUUCAGAAUAUGUCAAUAUGGUCCUUUCCGACAACUUACAUCAUACUUCCAACUUUCCCUGAGCAACCAAUCUUUGGCGAACCUCAGAUUGUCCUCGACAAUUGCUUAAUCACUUUAGUCAUAUCCAGUUCUAGACUUUUCCCUUCUCAAUGCCUUAAGCAUUUGGAAAAUUUAGAAAAGAUGAAUAUUAUAGCACAUGCAAUCGAUCCUAUAUCCGAAGCAUAUGGGACACGAUUCAUGAUGUUUGACAUAAAGACAUGAUACUAGACCAGUCUUUUGCUACAAUAUUUUUUAUUUGCCAUGUUUUCAAAAUUUAACUAUGAAGAGGGAUGCCGUAAUCAUAAUCGAAUUUUGAAAACGCAAUAUAUAUAGAAUUUCUUCAAGUUGAACCAUUCCAACAUAAAAUUCAUAUAUAUAUACUUGACUAAAGAUGAUUAAAAUCUCAAUCUAAGCUUUAGAAUUGAAAUGAAGUAUAAUUUCCUCUCCCUUAAUUAUAGCAAAACAACUUUUCAACCCCUGCAACUUCACGAAUUGAAACUUUGUUUUCUAUAAUUAACAUUGCUAACUUGCAACACUAAACGUAAUAAUCAUGCUCCCACUAACAUGAUGAUUAUCAGCAUAACACUUAUGCUCCCACUAGCUCUGACAUAUUUCCAGAAAUCUGCUGGACUUCUGAAAUUUAGAUUCAUACACCCUUUCUUAGAUAGCUCACAUGUGUGUCUAAACAAUUUUCAGAACUAUGAAAAGGGAUGCCGUAAUCAUAGUCUCAAUUGCUUAGGCAUUUGCCAUUUCUCACAAGUCCAUGUUAGUGUGCCGGUUAACCACACGCGCUCCACUAAUGACUUUUGAAAAUGCAAAUAACACAAUUGAUAUCUACGUAAAAUCUACUUAGUGAAAGCGUUUCCUCACCAUCAUUUUCAUGAAUCGGAGAGAAACCUUAUGACACUUAGAUUUUAUAGUGUAUGAGUUCCUAUCCAUGUGAAUUUGUCAAAACCAUAAUCACAAGAUAAGGUUAGUGACAAAUUCAGCCUUACAUGGAUUAAACUUGUUCAAUCUUAGUUUCUUGUCACCUUGGUAGCACAAGGCCCACCAAUGCUUCCAAGUUGAACUCUGAUAACUCACAUGCAAAUUCAACUUAUUUGAAGUAGGUACAGAAAUAAGAAUUAUGUCAACACGAUAGGUUGCAAACCUUAAGUCGUGUGCUAGUGAUAAAUUACAGGUUUUACUCUUGAUUAAAUCUUGAAACUCUUUCAGGAUCUUUAAGGCUCCCACUGUCCCCUUGACAUAUAAGUUUCCCCAGUCAAGAACCAUUCCUUGACAAAACAAAUAUUCAAGGGAUAGUGCGGAUUCUUAUCAAGACUAACACUUCACACAAUUGGUCUUAGUUGGUCUUUGUCUCAUCCAAGACAUCACAACUUACCAAUCUCAAAUGUACAAGAGUAGAAAACAUUUUACUCUUACAUUUGACUAGUGUUAAUAAAUCUUCCUUUAUGUCACUCAAAGUUACAAUCUUGGAGUAUGACUCUAAGAAUUGUUUUGGAACGAAGUAUGACUCAUCUUCUUGAUUUUAACCAAUCCAACAAUUCAUGACCUCUCUUCUUAGCCAUAACAAUGCACUAAGACGUCCUUAGAGUAUGAAUUUGUGAUAUGGUUUCAUAAUCAUUAAGAUGAUCAUGAAAUACGAUACUAAAGUACUCUCCCAUCCUUUCAGAUUUGAGAAACUUUUAUCUUUCUGCCUAAUUUGAUUCUUCUCAUUUGUUUUGUCAUACAUUGUAACCUUUCCAAUGUUACAGAAUUAUACUUAACCUCAUAAGUAUAAUCAUAUUUACUAAUCUUUAGUAAAUCAUGACAAAUCAAUCUUUGUGGUGGACCUUGACCAGCGCACACCCAGUGUACCUAAUUCCUUAGUCCUUCAAUUGACUCACAUAUACAUGUGAUCAAAGAAUUAGUCUUAAUUUUCAAAGAUGAAAAUUCUCAUUCAUCAUACAAUACAACUUGUAUGAUUCCAAGUUUCUGUCCAAUUGAAACUUGGGUGAUGAAAAACUUUCUUCAUUUGGUAAAUUCAGACACUACCACAAAUGAAAGAAUCAAAUCCACUUUCCAAUAUUGCUAUUACUGGAAACAUAUAAGCAACAAUUUUCCACAGAUGCCAUUGUAAGGAUAUUUUUAAAAUAAAUAAAAUUAAAACCCUUUUUUUUUUUUUUUUUAAAACUUUGCGGAAAAACUUAUCCUUACAAUCCACAUGAAAACCUUGUUGUUAUCUAUUCAUAAGCAAUAUAUUAUAACUCUUAAGCAACAGCUCAAAAUUCUGAUUACCGAACCAUGCGAUCGAAACCCACCUUCGCAAUCAGAAUCAACAUAUACUUACUUUAAGCUUCCUAUCUUUUCUUUGAUUCUUAAAAACAUCAGCAUGUGACCCAUUCACAUUAUGUAAUAAGAAUCUCCAAAUAGGAACUUAAUAGAGUUAGACAGUGGACUUUACCCGAAGUAGAGUCAAACCUCUUGACUUGAUCAACCUUAUGACCUUUCAGGUGAAUAGGGCAGCUUCGCAACCAAUGCCCCUUCCUUUGGCAACAAAACACAUGGACCCUUUGGUAAUGGCACAUGAGACUAUCUCAGACUUAGCCUUUCUCUUUACCAUUUGGUCAACCGAGUUGACUAUGGCCGAUCCCUUUCCAUUGGGAAGAGAAAUCCUUUUCUAGAUAUCCAAUGCUACCAUUGUCAAUGUCCAUUUAAGACUUGGGAAGUUGUUCUUUUAAUCAAAUUUGCUUUACUGGUGUUCCAAAUCAUUGCUGAUUCCACAACACCAAGCAAAUAGAUAACAUCAUUAAGGGUCAUGUCAUAGUCUGUCUCAUAGUAGUCCCAAAGAGACUCACUAUGUUACUAAGAAAGUGAUUGAACAUCCAACUUUCACGAGACUUUGACACCCAACUCUCCCGGCUUGUCAAUAUGUGACUUUAUCUCCAAGAUGUGAGCACACAUAGACUAUGCUUGCCAAUAGGGAUUGAGUGACUUUAAACUUUUCAAGAACUUGUGGGUGAGGGAGAAUAAUUGGAGGAGGUGGAGGAAGUGAAGCAUGAUGUUGAGGGACACCAUCUUCAAGAGAUUUGGGAAGAUCAUAGUUGUCUGAACCAGACAUCUAUAAUGGGAGAAAAUCAAGUUAGUUGAUUCAAAGUCCUUAAUAUAACACCCAAUAUGAAAUAUUAAGGCUAGGACCCAACACAAUAUUUUAUAAUUUGGAAGAGGGAUGCCGUAAUCCAAGCUAUAAAAUAUUUGAAGGUAGGCGAAUGACGAUUCACCAAUUUCCACCAUGAAAAACGAAAUAAUUUAUUAGGUUUUAAUUGGAUUUGAAAUUCCUAGUUCUUUUGAGAUUCAUUGAACUUUUCAAUGGCAUGUUUCAAUCUCGAUUGUCGCCUUCAAGUUUUGUGACUGGGAUGUCGAGGAUCUCAAAACACGGUGUGAAUAACCAUGCUAAUUCACUUGGUACCCUUAACAUUAUCACCUAAUCAAUGUGCCGGUUAACCACACACGCUCCAUUGAUCUAUGACAAACAUUAAGUCACCCUUCGUGAUCCUUACUAGUCCAAGUUAGUGUGCCGGUUAACCACACACGCUCCACCAACGACUUGGUAAGGUACAAAGUGUGAAUUCCAUGGGCUAGCACCAAAUUCACAUUUUUCCUAAAGUAACUAAGAUUGGGAAUUAAAUAAAAAAUUUUUAGUUACUUUAUAAUAAUCAUUAUACUUUUAAUGAGAAUUUAAAGUCAUUGUCCUACCCGUUCGGCUAACGACCCUCCACCGAUCAAGCAAGCGGUGGGUGAGAGUGGACACCCAUUAAGUUGUCAUUUUAUAGGCAACAACCUUAUACCCACCUUAUAGACCGGCUUCGUGAAUGAGGCCUACUAACGGUAAAACGACUUGUUCUUAUACAUAUAUAUAAUAAUUAACCAUUAAUGUUAUAAAUAGUAUAAGUGUUGAAUUUUAACUUUUAAAACUCUAAGUGUUGGAAUUAAAGUUUAUUAAAGUGUGUGAAACUUUUCCAAAUUCCAAAACUUGAGGGCAAGUUUUGAAACUAUUCAAAACUAAUUAAUUCCAUGAUUUAUGUGUUUAAAGUAGUUUUAAUCCAAAAACUCUUCAAGUUCCAUAACUUGAGGACAAGUUAUGGAAGACUUUAAACUAAUAAAAGAAUUACUUUUCUUUAUUUUAUAACUUAUGGAAUUAAUUAAGGUUACACUUUAUUUAUAUAUUUAUUAAUGAAGUGACUCUUGAACCUCCAUAACUUAAGGACAAGACUCUUCAUCUUUUGUAACCAUCCAAGACUUUUCAUUUCAUAACUUAUGAAUUAAAGGUUCAUAAAAAUGAAGACUCUUCAUUUUCAUGUAACUUAUGUGUUUUAAGUGUGUGUUAAAUAAAAGUGACCUUUGGAUAUCCAUAACUUGAGGACAAAUUAUGGACUCCAUUAAAACACAUAAAUGAUCAAGAAUUAAUUCUAAACAAUUCAGCAAAUAAUUCCUAUCAUCUUCUAAAUUCAUAAGAACAUGAACAUGAUCAUCAAAAUUUCAAGAAUUAUAUGAACACAUAAAAUCAUGGAAUUUUGAUUAUAACUUUGAAAUUGGUCCACCAUCAUCAUUACCACAUCAAAAACAGGUUUUAUGAGUCCAAAACAGUUUAAGGUAAUGAUUCUAGACCAAUUCCAGCACCAAAACUCGAAGAUAUGCUGUCUGGGGGUCCAACUCGUCGAGUGCAUGAACCAACUCGCCGAGUUGGAUGAGUUUUGCCUUGGACUCGUCGAGUCCCUUCAUGGACUCGGCGAGUCAGCUGUGCAGACAGCAUAAAAUCUUCGAUUUUCAGCAAUUUGCAUCAAGUAUUCAAACAAGCAAGCCUAGGCUCUGAUACCACUGUUGGGUUUUGAGCAAUCUAACACUUCCUAAGUGUGCAUGCAACCCUAAUAAACCUUGGAUCUAUGUUUGUCUAAAUACAUGCAAAAUAAUAAUUUUCCAAGGUUCAUAACCUAUCUAACAUGGCAUGGGGAACAUUUCAACAUAAAAGAGUUAGAAGAGAUUACAUACCUUUUUGAUGAGUUUGAUUCUUGAGGAGUUUGAGGGCCAAGCACCAAUAAUGUGAAUGCCUCAAAUGGAAUCACAAAUCACCACAAACUCUU
rnacentral:lncRNA from 1 species